CUGCCCUACGGGGCGCAGCAGUGAGGAAUAUUGGUCAAUGGGCGCGAGCCUGAACCAGCCAAGUAGCGUGAAGGAUGACUGCCCUACGGGUUGGAAACUUCUUUUAUAAAGGAAUAAAGUGAGGCACGUGUGCCUUUUUGUAUGUACUUUAUGAAUAAGGAUCGGCUAACUCCGUGCCAGCAGCCGCGGUAAUACGGAGGAUCCGAGCGUUAUCCGGAUUUAUUGGGGUUAAAGGGAGCGUAGAUGGGUUGUUAAGACAGUUGUGAAAGAUUGCGGCUCAAACGUAAAAUUGCAAUUGAUACGGG
rnacentral:rRNA from 1 species